CUUGGCUUAUACAGAGUAAUCUUUAUUAAACAAUAAAUUUAAACAGAUUACCAAAAAACAUAAUGACCAAUCUUGUCAAAUAACAAAUAGAAUGAACUGUAAAUUUCUACAUAAUAGAAGCAUAUUCCUCCACAUUUUAAUAUAUAUAUAUAUAUACAUUUUAUGAGUAAUAACACCAGUCAAUACAGAUGGUGAUUGUAACUUCAUGUCACUCAAUAUAAACAAGACAUUGAAAGACAAAAUGUUGGGAUUAUUAAAUCUAAUUAAAGUUGCAGUUUUGUUCUGGGAACAUGGUCAUAGAGAGACACUAAGUGGAGACUAGGACAUGC